UUGAAAAACAAACCAAACCAAACAAAAAAUUGGAAUGAUCUAGAGAUUAUCAUGGCCCCGCCCAAGGGUGACACACAAAUUCAUGAAGUGUUCCAUAUUUUU